UACGUAGGGUGCGAGCGUUAAUCGGGAUUACUGGGCGUAAAGCGUGCGCAGGCGGUUUUGUAAGUCAGAUGUGAAAUCCCCGGGCUCAACCCGGGAACUGCGUCCGAUACUGACAGGCUUGAAUCCGGGAGAGGGAUGCGGAAUUCCAGGUGUAGCGGUGAAAUGCGUAGAUAUCUGGAGGAACACCGGUGGCGAAGGCGGCAUCCUGGACCGGCAUUGACGCUGAGGCGCGAAAGCCAGGGGAGCAAACGGG
rnacentral:rRNA from 1 species